rnacentral:rRNA from 1 species
CGCGUAGGCGGCCCGACAUGUCAGGGGUGCAAUCCCUCGGCUCAACCGAGGAACUGCCUUUGAAACGGUCGGGCUUGAGGGCUGAAGAGGAGAGCGGAACGUUGCAUGUAGCGGUGACAUGCGUAGAUAUGCAACGGAAGGCCGGCGGCGAAGGCGGCUCUCUGGUCAGCAUCUGACGCUGAGGCGCGAAAGCUAGGGGAGCGAACAGGAUUAGAUACCCUGGUAGUCC